rnacentral:rRNA from 1 species
UACGUAGGGUGCGAGCGUUGUCCGGAAUUAUUGGGCGUAAAGAGCUCGUAGGCGGUUUGUCACGUCUGCUGUGAAAUCCCGAGGCUCAACCUCGGGUCUGCAUCCGAUACUGCCCGGCUAGAGGUAGGUAGGGGAGAUCGGAAUUCCUGGUGUAGCGGUGAAAUGCGCAGAUAUCAGGAGGAACACCGGUGGCGAAGGCGGAUCUCUGGGCCUUACCUGACGCUCAGGCGACGAAAGCUAGGGGAGCGAACUGG